ACAUGAUACAUGUACAUGGAGCUGUAUGUAUAUUGUUUUGCGCGGGAAAAUCUCAUGAAAAACCAGCCGCAAAUUUAUUCAGUGGACCCAGUAGGCGGAGCUUCUUGUCCUCGUGGAAAAAGCGUUUCUCUUUCUCUCUUUCUCUGAUUCUGAUCGUACCCUGGCCUACUAGGAGAAGUAAUGGCGAGUAAAGAUCCAAAGACACCUACUAAGGAAGGAGAGGUUGCAAGUGAAGGCAAUGAAGAAGAACCAACUGCUCUGUAUGAUCAGCCAUUGAUAGUGGAGGGUAAAAGGAAGAGAAGAAGUGUUGACCUUUUUGCGUUCUCAUCUCCUCGAGAGGCUCAGAAGACACCAAAGGAAACUCAA